rnacentral:rRNA from 1 species
GACGAACGCUGGCGGCGUGCUUAACACAUGCAAGUCGAACGAUGAAGCGGUGCUUGCACCGUGGAUUAGUGGCGAACGGGUGAGUAAUACGUGAGUGACCUACCUUUGACUCUGGGAUAAGCCUGGGAAACUGGGUCUAAUACCGGAUACGACCAAUCUCUGCAUGGGGUGUUGGUGGGAAGCGUUAUGGGGUGGUUUUAGAUGGGCUCACGGCCUAUCAGCUUGUUGGUGAGGUAAUGGCUUACCAAGGCGACGACGGGUAGCCGGCCUGAGAGGGUGACCGGCCACACUGGGACUGAGACACGGCCCAGACUCCUACGGGAGGCAGCAGUGGGGAAUAUUGCACAAUGGGCGCAAGCCUGAUGCAGCGACGCCGCGUGAGGGAUGACGGCCUUCGGGUUGUAAACCUCUGUUAGCAUCGAAGAAGCGAAAGUGACGGUAGGUGCAGAGAAAGCGCCGGCUAACUACGUG